CAGCGCCAAACUUCUCUGCCACUGGAGAAACAAUUGAAUGCAGUAGGGGUCAGGCGUACAGCGCCCUCAAGCUGCAGUUUUCUGGCUUACAAUAGACAGCUCUGACCAAUCAGAGGAGACCAUAGACUGUGUAUAGCUGGACAGAGCAUCGUCUCUUAAAAGUGAAGCCACCACAGGUCGGGCGCCCCCUGCUGUUCGGCUGCAGAAAGCUGUGUAACUCCACCCAUCCCCAUAGGUUUCAAUGGCAAAACAGAACAACUUUCAAUCACGUUUUUUUCUAAUAUACUGUAAUUCUACCUCCAUUAUUUAAAUGCAGCAGCUAGUGUAACCUCUGCUUAUAUUGUCAAAUUUUUAUAUCCCCACAGAAUUCGGUUUUUAAAACUUUAUUCGGCUCUAUUCAAAAAAGGUGUGGUUAUUGUAAAAGGGCUGCUUAUGGGCGGGACCAAUAACAGACCGUCAGCUCCGCUCCGCCCCGCUCUGCAGUCUGUGACCGCGAGGCAGCCCUCAGGGGCGGGGUUAUUUAAAUGAGUAGGCGGUCUCUCCACAGCCUUUCUCCCUCCUCUGGUCUCUACUGCGCAGACUCUGGUCUCUGAAUCGCCAAAAUGGCGGAAGAUUUUGGCUUCAUUUUCAUUGAAUGAAUGGGAACGGCGACACAGAGUCCAUCUUUAUAUACAGUCUGUGGAGGAGACAAUGUGAUCACAUGGUUUGUUGGGGCACCAAACAAAACCGAGGAAGAAAACAUGAUGUUUGCAUCAAGUCAUAUUCUAUGAGUUUAUGUACAUGAAUCAGCCUGAUUACUAUCUAUCUAUCUAUCUAUCUAUCUAUCUAUCUAUCUAUCUAUCUAUCUAUCUAUCUAUCUAUCUAUCUAUCUAUCUAUCUAUCUAUCUAUCUAACUAUCUAUCUAUCUAUCUAUCUAUCUAUCUAUCUAUCUAUCUAAUCUCGUUCACAGUCAUGAGGUCAGCACUGCAUUGUCUCCUGCUGUUCUCAGCUCUGUGGACUCUCUCCUUCUGUGGAACUCGUCAGUUUUAUGUGGUGAACGAAGGAAAGACCUGGACUGAAGCUCAGAAAUACUGCAGAGAGAAAUUCACUGAUCUGGCAACCAUUCAAAACGAGGAGGAAAUGGACACUGUAAAAGCUAUUGUUAACUGGAGAUAUAGCAACUACUGGAUAGGACUGAAAAUGAACCCUGAAACAAACGGAAAAAGCUGGAUCUGGUCAGAUGGGAGUGACUCCUCAUACAGUGACUGGUACCCCGGAGAGCCAAACAACCAUGGGACCAAUAACUGUGUGCAGACCAUAGGAGCAUAUGGAUACAGAUGGAAUGAUGCAGGGUGUUGGUAUCAGGCUUAUUCUAUUUGCCAUGAUGGUGAGUAAUAUGAGAGCAACACACCUGAUACUGAUCUGAAUUCCAGAGAACUUACAGGAAAAUACACAGAAAUACACCAAUUUAAACCACAACUAAACUCUUUGACAAAAA